rnacentral:rRNA from 1 species
GACGAACGCUGGCGGCGUGCUUAACACAUGCAAGUCGAACGGAAAGGCCCUGCUUUUGUGGGGUGCUCGAGUGGCGCACGGGUGAGUAACACGUGAGUAACCUGCCCUUGACUUUGUGAUAACUUCAGGAAACUGGGGCUCAUACCGGAUAUGAGCUCCUGCUGCAUGGUGGGGGUUGGAAAGUUUCGGCUGUUGGGGCUCGACUCGCGGCUUAUCGGCUUGUUGGUGGGGUAGUGGCUUACCAAGGCUUUGACGGGUAGGCGGCCUGAGAGGGUGACCGGCGACAUGGGGACUGAGAGACGGCCCAGACUCCUACGGGAGGCAGCAGUGGGGAAUAUUGCACAAUGGGCGGAAGCCUGAUGCAGCAACGCCGCGUGCGGGAUGACGGCCUUCGGGUUGUAAACCGCUUUCGCCGGUGACGAAGCGUGAGUGACGGUAAUGGGUAAAGAAGCACCGGCUAACUACGUG